rnacentral:rRNA from 1 species
UACGUAGGGUGCGAGCGUUAAUCGGAAUUACUGGGCGUAAAGCGUGCGCAGGCGGUGAGCUGUGUCCGAUGUGAAAGCCCCGGGCUUAACCUGGGAAUGGCAUUGGAAACUGGCUCGCUGGAGUGUGGCAGAGGGGGGUGGAAUUCCGCGUGUAGCAGUGAAAUGCGUAGAUAUCGGAAGGAACACCAGUGGCGAAAGCGGCUUCCUGGUCCAGCACCGACGUUCAGGCACGAAAGCGUGGGGAGCAAACAGG